rnacentral:rRNA from 1 species
UACGUAGGGUGCGAGCGUUGUCCGGAAUUAUUGGGCGUAAAGAGCUUGUAGGCGGUUUGUCGCGUCUGCCGUGAAAAUCCGGGGCUCAACCCCGGACUUGCGGUGGGUACGGGCAGACUAGAGUGUGGUAGGGGAGACUGGAAUUCCUGGUGUAGCGGUGAAAUGCGCAGAUAUCAGGAGGAACACCGAUGGCGAAGGCAGGUCUCUGGGCCACUACUGACGCUGAGAAGCGAAAGCGUGAGGAGCGAACAGG